GACGCAGGCCCUGGGCUACAGCAACCUUACCAGCCCCUCCACCUUAGAGGUGGCAGUGGCUCUCUGUGGCUGCGAUUUCUUUCUCGGAGCGUCCUCCCCAUCCCAUUCGGCCUCUGCCUCCACCGUCGUCUCUGUAACCCGUUCCCUGUGGGAGAGUCCCUGUUGCAGCGUUUAUGGGUUUCGGUUUUCUGGCUGAACAGUGAUUAACGCGAGGGAAGGCGCUGACGGCAAGGUGGCAGGAAGAAAAUUCCAACACGGACCACAACACCUAUGGACCUGGAAAACAUUGUGCUCAGUGAAAGAAGCCAGACACAGAAGGACAAUGUUGUAUGAGGUCUUACUCUGUUGCCCAGGCUAGACUGCAGUGGUGCAAUCCUAGCUCACUGCAGCUUCGACCUCCCGUGCUCAAGUGAUUCUCCCACCUCAACCUCCCGAGUAGCUGGGACUACAGGUGUGCGCCACCACGCCUGGCUGAUUUUUCUUGUAUUUUUUGUAGAGAUGG
rnacentral:lncRNA from 1 species